rnacentral:sRNA from 1 species
ACCGGGUGUGGUGGUGCACACCUGUAAUCCCAGCAACUCAGAAGGCUGAGGCAGGAGGAUUGCCAGCCUCAGCAACCUAGUGAGGCCCUAAGCAACUCAGUGAGACCCUGUCUCUA